rnacentral:rRNA from 1 species
CUAAGAAUAUUCCGCAAUGGACGAAAGUCUGACGGAGCGACGCCGCGUGGAUGAAGAAGGCCGAAAGGUUGUAAAAUCCUUUUGCUGAUGAAGAAUAAGUGCGGGAGGGAAUGCCCGUAUGAUGACAUUAGUCGGUGAAUAAGCCCCGGCUAACUACGUGCCAGCAGCCGCGGUAACACGUAGGGGGCAAGCGUUGUUCGGAAUUAUUGGGCGUAAAGGGCAUGUAGGCGGUUUCGUAAGCCUGGUGUGAAAUCCUGCAGCUUAACUGUAGAAUUGCAUCGGGUACUGCGAGACUUGAAUCACAGAGGGGAAACUAGAAUUCCAGGUGUAGGGGUGGAAUCUGUAGAUAUCUGGAAGAAUACCGGUGGCGAAGGCGGGUUUCUAGCUGAUGAUUGACGCUGAGGGGCGAAAGUGCGGGGAGCAAACAG